UCUGCCUUCGGUUUAUUUAAAAUUAAAAAAAAAGAACUGUUCUUAUUUUAAUUUAUAAUCAGAUUAUGAAUGCACUGUUACAGAGGCAUAGUUACAAACUGAUCCUUUUAGAAGAAUAUCAAGUAUUAAAUAAAAAAUUUUAUGCUUAAACACCCCCACAUUACUAUUUGAACAAAGUAGUUUAGUUACAUUAUUUUUAAUUAAACAAACAGUUAAAUUAUGAACCUUUUUUUCCCCCUUGAACUGUAUAUUCAUUGGGUCUUGCAAAAGACAAGCCUUCACACUCAUCAAUAUUGCAGUCCAUUGCCACGACAUGUUUUUGUGAACCCAUAGCUCUCAAUGUAUCAUAACUAAUGAGUUACAUUUAGUCUAGUGUAUAUAUUCUGUUUGAUCCGAAGGAAACUGGACCCUCCUAAAUCAAACAUUUACAGAUGACUUGCUGUGACAGUGCAACAAUUAAAUUCCCACUAUAAUUAAGCUAGACUAUAAUUGUAGCUUUUUUAUGUUUUCAUUUUAAUUGAAGAAACAAUUUUAUGGUGUGGGCCUGAUGCAUGAUUUGUUUUAGAAUCAAAGGCUGCGUCACAGUGACUCGAGAGUACAGAGUAAUUUAACUGCGUGUUACAGUAAUGUCAUCUUUGGCAGCCCCCUUCUGCCCUUUUGCUUCAUCUAGAACAGAAUCAGUGAACGGCGAGGGAUUCCCUUAAAAAUACCUGCAAAUAAAUAAGUACAAUCCAACUGCCGACAUCUGACCUUGACCACACUGAGGUAAAAGUAAUUAAAGAUGUAAAGCCCACCACGUCCCUGGUUUAGACGCCAGAGGAACUGCUUCUUCUGCUGUGGAGAGGGUGGAGUCUCCCUCGGUUUUAGGGAAGCCCCCCUGCGGGGUCAGAGUUAGUUUGAGCAAUUCCUGCGCUCCAUUCAAGACCCUGUUGAUUGCACAGCGAUUUCCACCGACGUCAGUGGAAUCCAUAGCCACAAGUGGUCGCCAGAAUCAGCCUCUGUCCGGAACCUUCUCUCUGCCAUCUCCUCUCAUCUCUCGGACCCCCAUCGACGACGACGACUCCUGCCGAAGGCCUGCGGAAGAAUCCACCGGUGACGCCACCGAAGUCUGCUCUUCGCAUGUUUGGGAAUCCAGGAUCCUGCUCUCGAUCUCUCACCUACCUGCUUAUUAAAACAUCUUACCUGCCA